rnacentral:rRNA from 1 species
AUUGAACGCUGGCGGCAGGCCUAACACAUGCAAGUCGAGCGAGCGGCGGACGGGUGAGUAAAGUAUGGGGACUGCCCGAUAGAGGGGGAGAACUACUGGAAACGGUAGCUAAUACCGCAUACUAUCGGCUAACCCCUAUGGGAUUAGCUAGUAGGUGUGGUAAAGUCUCACCUAGGCGACGAUCCCUAGCUGGUCUGAGAGGAUGAUCAGCCACACUGGGAAUGAGAAACGGCCCAGACUCCUCGGGAGGCAGCAGGGGGGAAUAUUGCACAAUGGGCGAAAGCCGGAUGCAGCCAUGCCGCGUGUAUGAAGAAGGCCCUAGGGUAGUAAAGUACUUUCAGUCGGGAGGCGUUACCGUCAGAAGAAGCACCGGCUAACUCCGUGCCAGCAGCCGCGGUAAUAC